rfam:Triticum urartu cultivar G1812 contig794690, whole genome shotgun sequence.
AUAAUACUUCCUCCGUCCGAAAAUACUUGUCAUGAAAAUAAAAAAAAAAUAUCUAAACGUAUUUUAAUUCUAAAUACAUUAUUUUUAUUCAUUUUAAUGACAAGUAUUUUGGGACGGAGGGAGUACUCC